GGCGUUCGGGAGGGGGCGAGGGAGCGAGAGUCGAGAGAGGGAGGCGGCGGCGGCCGGGAGGAGGAGGAGGAGGAGGAGGAGGAGCAGGCGCCGCCAUGGCCGCCGCUAUCACCGACAUGGCCGACCUGGAGGAGCUCUCCCGCCUGAGCCCCCUGCCCCCUGGCAGCCCCGGGCCGGCGGCGCGGGGCCGGGCUGAGCCCCCCGAGGAGGAGGAGGAAGAGGAGGAAGAGGAAGAGGAGGCGGAGGCCGAGGCGGUGGCGGCGCUGCUGCUGAACGGCGGCGGUAGUGGGGGCGGCGGCGGCGGCGGAGUGGGGGGCGGCGAGGCGGAGACGAUGUCGGAGCCGAGCCCCGAGAGCGCCAGCCAGGCCGGGGAGGACGAGGACGAGGAGGAGGACGAGGAGGAGGAAGACGAGAGCAGCAGCAGCGGCGGGGGCGAGGAGGAGAGCAGCGCCGAGAGCCUGGUGGGCAGCAGCGGCGGGAGCAGCAGCGACGAGACGCGCUCGCUGAGCCCGGGCGCCGCCAGCAGCAGCAGCGGGGAUGGGGACGGCAAGGAGGGCCUGGAGGAGCCCAAGGGACCGCGGGGCAGCCAGGGCGGCGGCGGGGGCGGCAGCAGUAGCAGCAGCGUCGUCUCCAGCGGCGGCGACGAGGGCUACGGGACCGGGGGAGGCGGAAGCAGCGCGACCUCGGGGGGCCGGCGAGGCAGCUUGGAGAUGUCGUCGGAUGGGGAACCCCUGAGCCGCAUGGACUCGGAGGACAGCAUAAGCAGUACUAUAAUGGAUGUAGACAGCACAAUUUCCAGUGGGCGUUCAACUCCAGCAAUGAUGAAUGGACAAGGAAGCACUACUUCUUCAAGCAAAAAUAUUGCCUAUAAUUGUUGUUGGGACCAGUGCCAGGCUUGCUUCAACUCUAGUCCAGAUCUGGCAGAUCACAUCCGUUCCAUACAUGUAGAUGGUCAGCGAGGAGGGGUAUUUGUUUGCUUAUGGAAAGGUUGUAAAGUAUAUAACACUCCGUCAACCAGUCAGAGUUGGUUACAGAGGCACAUGCUGACACACAGUGGAGACAAACCUUUCAAGUGUGUUGUUGGUGGCUGCAAUGCCAGCUUUGCUUCUCAGGGAGGGCUAGCUCGCCAUGUACCCACACACUUCAGUCAGCAGAACUCCUCAAAAGUUUCUAGCCAGCCAAAGGCCAAAGAAGAGUCUCCCUCUAAAGCUGGAAUGAACAAAAGAAGGAAAUUAAAGAACAAAAGACGACGCUCAUUACCACGACCGCAUGAUUUCUUCGAUGCACAAACACUGGAUGCGAUAAGGCAUCGAGCCAUAUGCUUUAACCUCUCAGCUCACAUAGAAAGUUUAGGGAAGGGACACAGUGUUGUUUUUCAUAGUACUGUAAUAGCUAAGAGAAAAGAAGAUUCUGGAAAGAUAAAACUUUUGCUUCAUUGGAUGCCUGAAGACAUGACUUCAUAUCCUGCUACUUAAAUUGCUGUUUCCCUGGCUUCUGAGAAGCUUCUUAACCUAGGUGGCCCAGUCAAACCAGUGGAAAAGGCUGGAUAAUGCGAAGAACAAUGCCGCAGAAGAGGUUGAAGAGGUAAAAAAUAAAUAAAUACAUAAAAAGCAAACAAGCGGGGACACCUGCAGUCUUAGUCACUGACAAUGGGUUUAGUAAAAGUUGCACAUUAGAGUCAACCCCCUUCCUUUUUGUUUUGUUUUGUUUUAAAAUCCAGUAUUUAGAAUAAUAUUUAUGCUUAGUGUAAACAUUCUGUGAAUGAAGUAGGCUCUUCUGUGGAAUAUAUUAAUAUAUUACUGUAUAUCCACAUUUUCAUGGAAUGGUACUGUGGGAGACUGAGCAAACACUCUUUCUGGCAACGUAGUGGAACAGCUUCUUAAAGGCUUUGCAUGCUUGCUGCUUUAAGCUGCUUUUUUUUUCCCCUUUAGUGAUUACAGUAGUUCAUAUUGGAAAGAAAAACAGUUACAACACGUGCCCUUACAAAUACCAAAAGCACUGUAAGGAUGUUUGUCUUGACAGUGUCUAUUGAUUUGAAGUCAUAUUAGGAAAUAUUUAGACAAUGAAAAUUAUCAAGAGAUAAUUUACCUUUCAAUUAUGAUAAAUAGAUGUGAUUGGUUGCCAUUUGUGUUCUUUUGCAGAACUCUGAUAAGAAAAGUGUUCAAUUUGUAUUUAAGCAAACAGUGAACGACAUUUGCAAUCAACUAAAAAUUCGUCUAUCGAAUUAGGGCUGAAAAUUUCUGUUAAAGAGUGUUGCAGUAUGUCUGGUGGCUCCCUUUUCAGGACUAGGGUUUUCUCAUGGAGUACAGUAUGUUAAUAUUUACCUAUAUAACUAAUCUGUUAACGGUUUUUGAAAAACCUCUAUUUCAAAUUAUUUGAAUAAUCCUCAUAUUUUCAUUUUAACCUAUAUAAGACUCCAAUUUUUUUUCUGAGGAAAGCAUUUGGUUUAUGAGUUAUUUUGUCUUAAUGUAAAGAAAAUUGUAUUUUUUUUUUUAAAGUAUCUUCAAACUGAAUCCUUUAUGCACCAAAGUUGGUUUUGAAAAGGAAAAUAAAAUCAUUUUCUUGCUUGGUAAGCAAGAAGCCAUAUGGAUUUUUUUUUAACAGAAAUGGAAAUAUGUGUAACUUGUUAGUAUUGUAUCAAACAAAUGUUGCAUAGAGAUAAUAGAACAUUGCUUGUAAAUAAUUCAGCAGAUUUGUAAUAUAUUUUUAUAUUAUGAAAUGUACUGUAGAUGUUUUUCUAGAGGCAUGAAAGUUAAAUGUAUAUAUUAUGGGUAGAAAUAAUAUUGAAGGAUAUUGUAAUUCACUAGUGCUGCCAGAGGAAUUGUUAAUAAAGCACCUUCUUUAACAAUAAAUGUCUUUUUGCAGACUUAAGGGACUAUGUACUACUGUUAAUAUCUCUAAGAACAAAACACAUUGAACAUCCUUCCAGAAAGUCUUUGAGGGAGGACCUAUACCCAUAAUAGAAUUAUGGCACUCAUUUCUGACAGUGACUGUGAAAUCAAUUAUUUCCUUACUGUUGGAAGGACAUAUUGUAAAGUAUGUAGUAUACGCAGUCAAACUGCAGAAAAUACUCCUGAUUGAGGAGUUUUCACUUUACUACAGUGAUAUAAAAAACCAGCAAUUUUUACACUAAAUUUUUUAAAGAAAGAAUAGACAAAAAUAUAGACGUAAGCCUUUGGUUCCAAAAUGGGAAAGGUUCCAUAAUACAUAAAUCAUUUCUCAUUUACUUUAAAAAAAUUUUAAAAAUAAAAAUUAUGGAAGACUUUAUUCGUUAACAAUGGGGGUAAAGAGCUAUAUACAUGGAAUGAGUCAUAAAAUUAAAUGAAGUGCAAAUAAAAGCACUGCUACUAUAAGACAUUCUGGAAUGGUUGUUUAAUAAGGGUGUUAUCCAUAUGAUCUGUAGCAAAUGUGAUUUUAUUUUUAAAAAGAAAAGAAAAGCAGUGUGUUUUCUUACUAUUUUGUUCUUUUGCUUAAGCACUUCAUCAAUUGCUUUAUUCUGUAUCUACGAAGUAAUCUGCAAUCUCCUUUGUUCUUUUUAAAGUUUGAUUUGUUAUAAAAUUGCCAAAUAGAAGUGUUUCAGAUAUAUAGUUUGUACCUGUAUUUUUUAUUUUAUUGCCUCAUGUUCUUGUAACUCAUUCUUAAUUGACCGAUGAUUGUAGACCUUGCCUGAGUAUUUUUUCUAAUAAAACAAAGCAAAUCACGUUUAGCUUCCAAAUUGUAACAAUUCAAUUAAAUUUUAAAACUACAUCUGAAAUAUACUUCUAAUCUUUUCUUUAGGGGCAUAGUGAAUAAAUUAGUUGUUUCAUUGUGUGGAAAUAUUUAGAUGUCAAAACCAAAUUUCCUGGUUAUUGAUUAGCCUCUGAGUAUUCAGUCCCUCGUACUUUGCUGCUUAUCUGACUUUGGUCUGAUACUAUUGUUAACACACCAAAAAGAAUAUGGAAUUAAAAUGAAAUAGUUUUAUAACUUGUAUGUAUACAUAUGUACACACUUGCGAUUAUGAUUGGGAAAUAAGUGUGAAAAUUUUAAUUUAUGAUGUUCAUUCAGGGAUGUCUGCUCGUCUAUAUUGUUCCUCCUAACGUUUAUGUAUGACAUAUUUGUGAUAAGGCCCCUGAAAUAAUCAGUCUCUUAUUCAAAAUCCAUCUUUUAGUUCAGCGGCAGGCAAACUGCAGCCCACAGGCACCCCCAUUCACUGACGUUUGUCUGUGACUGCUUUCUCCCUAUGGUGGCAGAGUUGAGUAGUGAGAUCUUAGGGCCUGCAAACCUGAAAAUUUACUAUCUGACCUUUUAAGGAGAAAUUUGCCAGUCCCUGAUAUAUUUGAUAAAAUUUUUAGAAAAAUAAACCUGGACCACACAACUUAAAUUUUAAUGUGACAGUGUUAAUCUUGGUAAUAAGCCAGUACGUUAAAUUUCAGUGAAAGCUGUUUAAUAUACUUUACGGUAAAUAUUGCCAUAUUAGGUAUCUGCAACAAAUGGUGGUGGUUUUUAAAACUUUUAUGUUAGAUUUCUUAAUAGUUUCAUUUCACCAUUUGUUUUUAUAUUUUGUUUUACUAAAUAGGACUAAAUGAGAUUUUGUAUAUCAGAUCAUGUUUAAACCAUAAGGCACAUCUCUAUCUAAAAGAAUCUUAAAAGUGGAAAAUACUGUAAAAUUUAAAGUUGUUUAUUUUUCUAAUAAACUUACUUUUUCAUUUAUAACAACAUAGAUUACUUCUGAAUUUCAGAUGAAAGGAAAUUAAAAGGGACAGUAAUUAAUUCUCAGUGCGUACUUUAAGAUUUGUUUUACGCAUUGAUAAUCGUGUCAGUAAAUCUUUGUAAAACUUUUUUCCCUUUCACAUCUUAAUAAGAUGUUUCAAAUAUGCAAGUACUCUUAAAAGGAUAGAAUUUGGCACAGUUACUUAAAACAUCUUUUAUUGUUUGCUAUUUGAAUUUUUUAAAUAAUAUAUGGUUAAUGCAGGUGUUCGAUAUUUGAAUAAAAUAUAAAAAUGGGACUACAUGGUUGAAGUCUUUAAAAGAGUGGGCAGGCUUUAUAGUCUCAACUUUUUUUUUAAAAAAAUCAUCUUUAAUACGUCUGCGUAAGUUCUCUAAAAGGCAAACAAAAAUUCUUAGUUUAGGUAGAUUUUUAACAUGAAAAUCUGAUAUAUUUGUCUGUAUAACAAGGCCUACGGUUGCGGACUUGCAAGGAGAUGCUGAUAUAUAUAGUCUUUUUAAAAAAAAGUUAAAUCAUAUAUGUCAUUUGAGUAUUUUGGUUUUUUUGGAGAGAAGUGAUACAUUUUGGGGGGUUUCAAUGAAAAAUAUUUUUCUAUUCUAAAAAAUAUAGAAAGUAUUUCUUAAAAGGAUAAAAUUUUGUUAUAAAAUUUCUUACUUGUGUAUUUUUCUUAAUUCUUAAAGAAUCUGACCUGUUGGAGGCUGUUUUGCAAUUCCAACACUGCAGCUUAAAUAAGAUCUGCAGAGUUCUUUUUUUUUUAGGUUAGAGUAUUUUGUCAUUUCUAAUGGUUAUGAGCCUUAGUAGCCUUAAAAAUGUAAUGAAAUGCUGUAUUCUUAUUUUUAAUUAAAAAAUUUUAAAAAAAUAUUUACAUAGUCCAAUUUAUUCCCUGAAUCAGGUUUGCAUGGUAUAUAGCACAUAGGUCUAUUGCUAUGAAAAUGAAAAGGACUUGCAGGUAGGCUACAGCAGGAAUUGCAGCCCAUGUUUUUUUCUAGGUCAGUAUUCUUUCCACUAUACCAAACUGCUUUUCACAGUGUGAGAGAGGAAAUACAUGUACUUUGUAAUACUGCUAUGAAGUUGCUUUCAGUGUCCACCAUAGCCAGUCCCUAGCAUGAUGUCUCUCAGAUACUCAUUGAAUGAGAAUUAUAGGUGAGUACUUGUUACAGUAAGGUCUUUUGGAGAGUUAUGGCCAUUAGACACUAGUAGGGUUAAGCAACCUGGCUUAAACCACGUAAUUGUUACAUAACUUUUCAUAUGAACCUAUAAAGGGAGCUAUUCUACAGCCUGUCUAAACAUUCUCAGUGUAAAGGAUUAUUGAUGUUAUAUUUUUACGUACUCAAUUGUAACCAUUUUUGGUUUAUUUAAUUUUGUUAAAAAUGUCCUCAAUCUUGUUUAUAGUAGAGCUGUAUUUUUUAAUGAGAUCCCAGUUGUGUUUAUGAUAUGAUGAACAUUUUUAAGCAAUAGCACUUUUAAGGAGUUACCCACUAUUUGAUUUAUUUGACUGUUUUGUCAUGGUCCCAGAGCAUUGUCCCCCAAAGAACCUUUUUUCUUCUUCACUAUUUAUGUGCUUCUACUAAAGAAAAACCUAUGUUUUACAAAUCUUACAAUUUUAUUAUGGAAUUGUCAAGGAUUUAUUUAUACAUUCCUGUUAAAACAAUUCCAGAAGUUCAUUUAUAGAUGAAUGCCUAAUGGGUCUCGUGUAAGGUGAUCACAUGUUUUGGGUCUUUUUCCUUUUAGAAAAGCAUGAAAUUUUGGGGAGAGUAUGUAGCUAGGGAAUAAUAAUUGAUUGUAAAAUUUGAGCAUUUUACUCUUGAUACCUGGGUCCAAUGCAAGUAGUUCAGAAUAAAUGUUGAGUGUUGGAAAAGAGUGGGUUGGAAGAUUCCCAGCUUAUGUCUUCUUGAGUUUAAUAAAUUAAGAGAACCUAAUUGUUAUUUUCUUAAUACUUGCAUAUCUGUUUAAUACCUGUAUGAUAUCUUUAAAAGAUUGCAGUAAGUGUCCUAAAUGUCAUUCUUUGUAGAAGUUGAGUGCUUGAGUUUCUGUUUCUUCUUUUCCUUAUAUGUUCUCCUCUAAAUAACCCAAACUAUCUAAUUUCUUUUUUAAAUGUAGUUCAGAAUAGUCAGCAGUUCGUUAAAAAUUUGUCUUAAACAUCAGUAAUAUUUUAAAAAAUAGUUUCUUUGUUAUUAAUAUUAUAAUUGCCAAAAUGAACAAAUUAAUAGUAUAGAAAGUAGUGAUAAAAGUGAAAAUUCUCACUUUCAGCUGACUACACUUUCCUGGUCUCCAGACUAAUACGUUGUUGAAUCCUUCCAGAACUUUUUUCUUGUACUUAUUUAAAUUGUUAUACAUGCACCCAGUUCUAGGAUUUGGCAUUUACUCAACACAUCCGUACAGAUUUUUCUUAUUACUGUUUUUAUGGCCAAAUGUGAUGUACCGUAAAUCAUAUAACCAUUCCCCGUUGGCUGACACUGAGAUUGUUUACAGACUUUUUGUCAUAAUACAACAGCAUUCUUGAAAAUAUCCUUGGAGACAUAUUUCUAUACUGUAGUUUCCUGGAAGAGACUAUUAGCCUACUUAAAGAGUUUGUGAGUUGUGUCUGUUGUAAAGUUUUGGUAUUGCCAAAAUGUGUCCCUAAAAAGAUAGUGCCAACACAAACUCCUGUUAACUGGAUACGAGUACGCUUUUCUUCACUGCACCAAUACUUAAAUGGUAUCAAUCUUUAAAUUAUAGUCAAGCUAAGGUGGAAAAGUGUGUUAAGAGUAUGCGUUGCCUGGAUUUAAUUCUCAGUUCAACUGAAAAGUGACUUUGUGGUUUUGGGGAAGUUACACUUAAACUCUAUGUGCCUAUUUUUUCAUUGUAAAAUGGCGUGGUAUUAUUUACCCGAUAGUUUUUGUUCUGAGGUUAAAAUGAGAUGUAUGAUCAAUCUUUUUGAAUGAGCAUGACUUGUGUGCAAUCUUAAUAUUUAUAUCAUAUUAUGAUCGCUGCAAACCCCCUCUGGAUGUGAUCUUCUCUUGCCAUUGGAAGAAAUGAUCCUCGGUUUUUCUGGUUAUUCUUGGGUAAUAAAAAGUCCUCCAUUCAGGUGUAGUCACAAAUAAUCUCAUUUUAGCAUCUUUUUAAUUUCAACAAGUAUAUAUCUUUUAAUUCACUUUAAUCGUACAGUUAGAUGAGGUUUGACGGAUGCACAUAACCAUGAAGUCACCACCACAAUGAAGAUGCAGAACAUUUCAUUGCCUCCCAUAAGUUUCCUCAUGCUUGUUUGCAGUCCGUCCUUCCCUCCCGGCCCCAGACCCAGGCAGUCACUCAUCUGCUCUCUCUUACUGUAGAUUGGUUUGCAUUUUCUAAAAUUUUAUAUAAAUGGAAUCAUGCAAUA